GUGAAAUUUUUAAUGUGAGGGAAAUUCUUAAGAAAUCUGUUGAGACUAAAAAAUUUAGGUAAAAAACCAGGAUUAGAUACCCCGUUAUUCUAAAUAAUAAUGUAAAUAGGGUAGUGAAAGUUGUUCUUCAAACCCAAAGGUUUUGGCGGCAUCCUAUCCUAAUAGAGGAGCUUGUCCUAUAAUUGAUAGUCCCCAUUCUAUCUUACCCUUUUUUGUUAAGCUUGUAUACCGCCGUUGUCAGAUUACUUUAAAAGAACGUUUUCAGGAAGAAUAUUUUUCUUACUUCAGGUCAAGGUGCAGUUUAUAAAAGGGCAGUGAUGAGCUACAAUUUUUAAUAGAAAUACGGAUUUUAGGUUUAAAACUCAGGUGAAGGUGGAUUUAUUAGUAAAUUUACUUAAGUACAGUAAGUUGAAUAAGGCAAUAGGAUGUGCACAUAUCGCCCGUCACUCUCUUCU
rnacentral:rRNA from 1 species